rnacentral:rRNA from 1 species
CCUACGGGCGGCAGCAGUGAGGGAUAUUGGUCAAUGGGGGAGACCCUGAACCAGCAACGCCGCGUGAGGGAAGACGGUUUUCGGAUUGUAAACCUCUUUCCUCUGUGGAGAUAAUGACGGUAGCAGAGGAGGAAGCUACGGCUAACGACGUUCCGGCAGCCGCGGUAAUACGUAGGGAGCAGGGGUUGUCCGGAUUUACUGGGUGUAAAGGGUGCGUAGGCGGACUUGCAAGUCAGAAGUGAAAUUCAUCGGCUUAACCCGUAAACUGCUUUUGAAACUGGAGGGCUUGAGUGAAGUAGAGGCAGGCGGAAUUCGCGGUGUAGCGGUGAAAUGCUUAGAUAUCGGGAAGAACACCAGUGGCGAAGGCGGCCUGCU